rnacentral:lncRNA from 1 species
AAAACUUCAUCGGCUAAAGUGAACAUAUCAAGGAUAGACUCAGAGGGGAGAAUAGGAUUUAUAUCUACCAUUACUGGUCAGAAUACAACAAGUAGGAAUUACAACUACCCUUUUACUUGGUUAAAGCAAGCAUAUCAAGGAUAAACUCUCUGGGGAAAUAAAGAAUUAUAACUACCUUUUUACUAGAUAGAAUACUAAAUAGGAAGAACAUCCGUCAUCAGUUAAGAUGAAC